GGCUAGGGGGCGAGGAGCCUCCUACUGCCCAUCUUCCCGUACACCACGCGCAGUUACUCACCUUUGUCUCCGGCCUGGAUUAAGGAUCCAGCCUUUCGCCUCCAUCCCUCUUGUCCCUCCUGAUCCUCCUGACCCUGUCUUUAAGAUCCCAGGAGCUGCGGUGAGGAGUGAGGCUGAGGGGCCCCUUUCAUCUGACGCAGCGACUCCGCUUUCCUCCGGCGGCUCUGUCUAUGGCUGAGCUCUUUGAUCCUUUGAGGAAUGGUUUGACUUUUCCCGAGCAAAGAGCCUGCGUUGAAAAGCGGGGGUGGAAUUCAGUCCUCACAGAUAAUGAGGGGACAAGACCUAAUUGAACCGAGUAUUGCCGGGAAGGAAAAGGCAACGGGCCAAGCCUUUGACAGGGUGCGAAACUGACUUUUAUCAUCGUUAUAGUCUUUAAAUCCUGGGAAACGAGUUGGCAACCCCAAAAUAAAGAAGUGUAAUGACGUCUGAUGACUUCACCCAAAUACAGACCAUUCCAAGAAAGACUUGCGCAGUUCUCAUGCGUGGUUGCGUUUUUGCAUAAAACUAAGAUUCCCUUUGUCCGCGUGUUUAAUAGCUUAAAAAUAAAUUGAGGUUUUUAUCGGAUAAAAGUAGCCAGGAAAAAGUGAUACAGUGAAAACGACUACAGGAUAUUUAUAGACUUGUCUUUCAAGUUAUUAGAAGUCUCAUUCUAUCUGGGGGCAGUGAUGGUGGUGGUGGUAGUGGAACUUGUGAAUUGAGAUUCAUCUCGAAACUGGAGGCAUGGCUGAGACUUCUAAUAAAGACAACCUCAGUCAACACU
rnacentral:antisense_RNA from 1 species